rnacentral:rRNA from 1 species
CCUACGGGAGGCAGCAGUGAGGAAUAUUGGUCAAUGGGCGGGAGCCUGAACCAGCCAAGUCGCGUGAGGGAAGACGGUCCUAUGGAUUGUAAACCUCUUUAGGCGGGGAGCAAUGCCGGGCACGCGUGCCCGGAGGGAGAGUACCCGCAGAAUAAGCAUCGGCUAACUCCGUGCCAGCAGCCGCGGUAAUACGGAGGAUGCGAGCGUUAUCCGGAUUGAUUGGGUUUAAAGGGUGCGUAGGCGGAUUUUUCAGUCAGCGGUAAAAUGUCCGGGCUCAACCCGGGCCGGCCGUUGAAACUGGGGAUCUUGAGUGGGCGAGAAGUAUGCGGAAUGCGUGGUGUAGCGGUGAAAUGCAUAGAUAUCACGCAGAACUCCGAUUGUGAAGGCAGCAUACCGGCGCCCGACUGACGCUGAGGCACGAAAGCGUGGGGAUCGAACAGGAUUAGAUACCCCAGUAGUC